rnacentral:sRNA from 1 species
AGAGUGGCAUUAGCUUUCCCUACAGCCAUCCUCACCUGCUUGACACCCUUGGAUGUUGUUUUUGUUUGUUUGUUUGUUUGUUUUGUCCGUAGCUCUUGGGGUCCCCAGCCUCUCUCUUGAGCAGGACUGGAUUUUUUUUUUUUUUUUUUUUGAUAAGAAAGCUGGUGCCCAAGAUUGUUUUCCACCUUAAGGAUAAAACCUGUUAAGAAAGGAGACUUGGAAGAUGCAGAACUGGAUGACUACUCAUUCUCAUGCUAUAGCCAGUUGGAAGUGAAUGGAUCGCAGCACUCACUGACCUGUGCUUUUGAGGACCCAGAUGUCAACAUCACCAAUCUGGAAUUUGAAAUAUGUGGGGCCCUCGUGGAGGUAAAGUGCCUGAAUUUCAGGAAACUACAAGAGAUAUAUUUCAUCGAGACAAAGAAAUUCUUACUGAUUGGAAAGAGCAAUAUAUGUGUGAAGGUUGGAGAAAAGAGUCUAACCUGCAAAAAAAUAGACCUAACCACUAUAGGU